GCGUGCCUAACACAUGCAAGUCGAACGAGAACCUGCUGGUGGACUUUUCGGCUGAAAGUGGCGAACGGGUGAGUAACACGUAGGUGACCUGCCCUGGAGCGGGGGACAACCGUCGGAAACGGUGGCUAAUACCCCAUGGUCCUGGUGUAGUUGGAGUACACUGGGUAAAGUUCCGGCGCUCUGGGAGGGGCCUGCGGUCGAUUAGCUAGUUGGUGGGGUAAAGGCCUACCAAGGCGAUGAUCGAUGGCUGUUCUGAGAGGAAGACCAGCCACACGGGAACUGAGACACGGUCCCGACUCCUACGAGGGGCAGCAGUGAGGAAUAUUGCGCAAUGGGGGAAACCCUGACGCAGCAACGCCGCGUGAAGGAUGAAGGCCUUCGGGUCGUAAACUUCUUUUCUGGGGGAAGAGGAAGGACGGUACCCUGGGAAUAAGACACGGCUAACUACGUGCCAGCGGCCGCGGUAAUACGUAGGUGUCGAGCGUUAUCCUUGUUUUCUGGGCGUAAAGGGC
rnacentral:rRNA from 1 species